rnacentral:rRNA from 1 species
GAGUUUGAUCUUGGCUCAGGACGAACGCUGGCGGCGUGCCUAAUACAUGCAAGUCGAACGAACUUUCUUACACCGAAUGCUUGCAUUCACCGUAAGAAGUUGAGUGGCGGACGGGUGAGUAACACGUGGGUAACCUGCCUAAAAGAAGGGGAUAACACUUGGAAACAGGUGCUAAAUACCCGUAUACUCUAAGGAUCGCAUGAUCCUUAGAUGAAAGAUGGUUCCUGCUAUCGCUUUUAGAUGGACCCGCGGCGUAUUAACUAGUUGGUGGGUAACGGCCUACCAAGGUGAUGAUACGUAGCCGAACUGAGAGGUUGAUCGGCCACA